rnacentral:misc_RNA from 1 species
GUCAUUCAUCAUCUAGUGAUCGCUAUAGUAGUCAUGGAGGCAGCCGAGGUGGGCGUGGAGUAUCUCGGCGCUCUGAUUAUCGUGUAUUAGUCACAGGAUUACCUUCUUCUGCUUCAUGGCAAGACUUAAAGGAUCACAUGCGGCGAGCUGGGGACGUUUGUUUCUCCCAAGUGUUUCGUGAUGGUAGUGGGACCACAGGGAUUGUGGAUUACACCAACUAUGAUGACAUGAAGUAUGCUAUUAAGAA